rnacentral:rRNA from 1 species
UACGUAGGGCGCAAGCGUUUGUCCGGAAUUAUUGGGCGUAAAGAGCUCGUAGGCGGUCUGUCGCGUCGGCUGUGAAAACCCGAGGCUCAACCUCGGGCCUGCAGUCGAUACGGGCAAACUAGAGUACUGCAGGGGAGACUGGAAUUCCUGGUGUAGCGGUGAAAUGCGCAGAUAUCAGGAGGAACACCGGUGGCGAAGGCGGGGUCUCUGGGGCCCGAUACUGAC